CUAACUUAUUAACAAGUAUUUUACAAACAUAUGUAAUAUUAUGUACUAAUAGUUUGGAUUUAACAUUUAUACAGCAUUUAACAAAUGUUCAGAGAACUAUUCUCUGUGAUCUA